UUUUUUGCGGGUGAAGAUGUAAAUACGUAUCUACUCACUCAAAGACCCGGACUAACCGCUUCACAAUUUAGUAUCGGAGCUAAAAAUUGAACUAUCUUAUUCAGAAGGUCAAGGCGAGAUAGUCCACUCAAGUACUGUUACUGUGUUUUGUUAAAAUCGACGCAAGAUACACUUCGUUUCUGGUUUUUGUUGCUUCAAUGGCAAUCCAAUACCUUUCGGCAUCAGGUUUUCCGGUCAAGUUCAAUGCGUUGAAGGCGAAAACAUGCAGCCUUUUCAACUGUACAAAAUAAACUAAACACUCAAAUCGAAAUUCGUGUGAACACACGCCAGAAACAUCAAGAUAAAGGAAAGGGCAAUUACAAUUUGAACAAAAAUAUUUCAAAAUAUAGCAAUUAGUUGGAUAAUAAUCAAAAAUGAUCCAGAAAAAUCUGAAAUUCAAGGAUCCAUUAAAUUGUUGUUCCAAAAGUUAAUGAACUACGGAAAAACUUUGUUUUGGAAAUGUAAA